UUGCAUAUUCCAAUAGCGGAGGAAAAGAAACCAACAGGGAUUGCCCCAGUAACGGCGAGUGAAGCGGCAACAGCUCAAAUUUGAAAUCUGGCCCCCCGCGGGCCCGAGUUGUACUUUGGAGAGGACGCUUCUGGCGCGGCGCCGUCCGAGUUCCCUGGAACGGGACGCCGGAGAGGGUGAGAGCCCCGUACGGGCGGCCGCCUAGCCUCUGCGAAGCUCCUUCGACGAGUCGAGUAGUUUGGGAAUGCUGCUCAAAAUGGGAGGUAAAUUUCUUCUAAAGCUAAAUACCGGCCAGAGACCGAUAGCGCACAAGUAGAGUGAUCGAAAGAUGAAAAGCACUUUGAAAAGAGGGUCAAACAGUACGUGAAAUUGUUGAAAGGGAAGCGCCUGUGGCCAGACUUGCGCCCCGCGGACCACCCGGCGCCUCGCGCGCCGGGGCACGCCAGCGGGGCGCAGGCCAGCAUCGGCUCUCUCGGGGGGACAAAGGCCGCGGGAACGUAGCGCCCUCGCGGCGUAUUAUAGCCCGCGGCGCCAUGCCCCCGGGGGGGCCGAGGACCGCGCUCCGGCAAGGAUGCUGGCGUAAUGGCCACCGGCGACCCGUCUUGA
rnacentral:rRNA from 1 species